GAGGGCAACUUUCCCUUCCCUCAGACACUGCUCAUCUGGCUGCUUUAACUGAUGACACAGUGUCUGAGGCUGGGGGUUGGAGCAGUAGCCGCACUGCCUGCUGGGACCACCACUCAAGCUUUCGUAGGAGAAUGUGGGGUAGUCAGGCUUCCAAGACUCCAGCCCCACUCAAAUGAGUCAUGGUACGUGGCCGUCUGACUUUCCUA
rnacentral:sRNA from 14 species